rnacentral:rRNA from 2 species
UGCUUCCGGAAUAAGAUCGAGGGGUACGACCUGCCCGGUGACUAUUUAGUUAAACGGCUGCAGUACUCUGACUGUGCAAAGGUAGCAUAAUCAUUUGCCUAGUAAUUUUAGGCUAGAAUCAACGGUUAGACGAAGGAUUAGCUGUCUCCUUACAAUUUAAUUGAAAUUGGCUUUAAAGUGAAGAGACUUUAAUAAAAGAGUGGGACGAGAAGACCCUAUUGAGCUUUAGCCUAAUUAAAAUUGUUAGUUUUAAAAUGGUUUGGAUUGGGGCAAUUCUUUUUAUAAUAAAACAAAGGUUUAUUUAUAAUGGAUUUAUACUAAUUAGACCCUAAAUUUAUUGGGAAGUAAGAAAAAGUUACCAUAGGGAUAACAGCGUUAUUUUCCUUGAGAGUACAUAUUGACAGGAGAGUUUGCGACCUCGAUGUUGGAUUAAGAUGUCCUGGAUGUGCAGCAGCUUCCAAGGGUUGGUUUGUUCAACCAUUAAAAUCUU